rnacentral:rRNA from 1 species
CACGUAGGCGGCUAGGUAAGUCUGAUGUGAAAGCCCUGGACUCAAUCCAGGAAGUGCAUUGGAUACUGCUUAGCUAGAAUGCAGGAGGGGUAAGCGGAAUUCCAGGUGUAGAGGUGAAAUUCGUAGAUAUCUGGAGGAACAACGGUGGCGAAGGCGGCUUACUGGACUGAUAUUGACGCUGAGGUGCGAAAGUGUGGGGAGCAAACG